rnacentral:lncRNA from 1 species
CAUUUUCUCAUUUAGUACCUUAUGAUUUAAACUGUAUUAUUUUAGUACCCUCUGAUUUCGUUUUUUUUUUUUCGUUAUCCCUUUUGUUAAUUUUUUCGUUAAAUUAAUAAGAAAGUUAAAUCUACAUAGUAGUAAAGUAAAAAUUUCGUAAAUCAUUGGAUACUGAAGUGAAUAUUCAAUAAACCAUAUGAGGUAUCUGAAGUUUUUUUCUAUAUAUUUUAACGGAGGGGUUAACGGAAAUAGAAAAAUAAAAUUACAAGAUAUUAAAGUGAUACACUUUAAAUCAUAGGGUAGGGGGGAUAUUUAAAGUUUGAGGACUGGAAUUAAAUUAUCUAAACGAUCAGGGACUAGCUGUGCAAUUUAACCAAAUUAUAUAGUGCGGAUCGAACACGCGACUGAGACCCCCACCCCCUCUCUCUCUCCUUCCUCGCCGGAGCGCCGCCGUGGGACGCCGCAGCAGCUACGGUCGCCGCCGCCGCUCCUCCGCCGCCCCGAUUUCGAGUCAGCUUCGCCGGAGGGCUCCGUUGGACCCCUCAAGGGUUCGAUUCGUCUCCCAAUUUGAGGUAAUUUGGGGAAAUUUCGGUGUCUUAGGGUUUUCAUGAUCGUUUCAUGUCGGUGGAUUGAUAUGUGACUGUGUUGGGUUCCUUUUUGGAUCGAACUGGUUACAAGGAUACUUGUUUUUAGAUUAAAAAAACUUCAAGCAGCCCCUUGCGACUAUUGCACUGUGUUCCUCUUUUAGUUUCUGUUUUAGUAAGGUUUAGGUUAUAAAUUUUUGGAUCUUGGGUAGAAUUGUAUUUUUUUGGAAUGUCAUCCAAUCACACUGACUACAAUGUUAUUUCAACCUGCGUCACAUUAUUCAUAUACGAAUUAGAAAAGUUUUUUUUUUGGAUAAAGGAGUAAUUUUUAUGCUCAAGAUGCUCAAUUCAUGGCAAACUGGUCCCUAAAUCAUCAGAUUUGGUUAUACUUAUUGAAAUCCUCCGCAAUCAUCAGAAAUCAUGCCUCCAAAUCUCUAAUUUGGAUGAUUCGUAAUAAGUUGUUAGUUUUUCGCAAGGAUCUGUUAUUGAAAAGAUAUCUAUGUUCUGCACUUUUGUAAGCCACAAGAUGGUAGAAUAUGUGGUUUAUCACCUUGUACUCAAACAAUGUAGCUUUUGUUACUAUCUGUUUUAUUGGUAUGUUAUUGCAGAAAACUUAAACAGAAAGAACAUGCGACAAAAUGCUAAACUUUGGCCACAGGGAAGUGAACUGCAAUAUCACAAUAACACAGAAUAAUAACAUUUUAAAGACUUUGAGAUGAGCAAGCGUUCUACAGAACUUAAAGAGGAGCUUCUUGAAUUGUUUGAAUUUUUCUGAAAACAAUGUUGCAUGUGAUAACAGCUACUUUGAUUUUAGGCAAAGAUAAAGAAUCGUGGAGAUAGUACAAGCAAGCGAUGGAGAAGAAAUACGGGCUCCAGCUUCGAAUCCCAAAAUCGCAGUCAAAGCCGACAGCAUCGAGGCCUCCUGCUCCUCCGCCGGCAUUUGCUUUCGGCGGUGAUGAUGAGGACGACGUUGAGAGGGAAAUCUCUCGCCAGGCCUCCAAGAACAAGGCCCUACAGAAGGUAAAUUUGAUCUUUAGUUCUCCUUAUUAUUGUUAUCAAUCAUUUGGAGAAUUGACGAUUUGCUUCCUCCUCACGGACCUCUUCCAAUUUUUGCACUUUGGAAAAAUCAUAAAGGUAGAGGAGCAGCACAAGAAGGCGCUUGAAGAGGAUCCCUCGGUCUUCGACUAUGAUGGGGUAUAUGAUGAGAUGAAGGAGAAGAUCGUGCGCCCCAAGAUCCAGGACAAAACUGAGAGAAAGGUUCUUUUUUCUUUUUCUUUCACAAUUUCCUAGUUUUACUUUGCUUGCGAGAUGCAUAUCUAUGUUUACUAUGCAGAAAUACUUUUUAUCAUAGAAGAUGCAUAAAAGUUUCAUGAAAUUGGAUAUAGUGUGAAGAAUGUAGAAUUCGUUUGGCAAAUGUCCCAAACAGGAAUUGUGCACCAUCUAGAAGAUGUAUGCACUUUUUUUGCCUUUGCAGAGUGCUGGUUGGCCACCAGAGCCUGUUCAAAUCAUUCAUAGGAGGGUGGUUCCAUUUGUUUGGGCAUUGGACUUUCUGAUCAAGUUGUUGCAUCCACUUGUAUAGUGUAUACAUGAUGUGAAAGAGAGAAGGAUUCAUUGAAAGUCUCAUCUCAGAGCCCGGUGCUAUUCUUAUUUCGCAUUGCUUGUUACUGCUCUUCAAUACCUCAUUCAUAGCAGGGUAGUUACAUUGACAACUAAGACGAAUAGUUGCGAGUAAAAAAUAUUAGCAUUUUAGAGUUCUUUGUACAGAUUGUUUGAUAGUUUGGAACCAGGCAACAUUUUUGUUUAAAUUCCCUGAUCUCUGUCUUUAUCCUAGGUUUAAUUUUUCAUACAUUUGUUGGUUAUUUUGUACUGUGUGUUUUAGGAUUUCCAUUUGUUGGUAUCAUAACCUUAUAUGGAUGCCUUUUCAUGCAUCCUCUGAUGGCAUUUAUUCUUAAUUGCAGUCAAAGUAUAUUGAAGUACUUAUGGACAAAGCAAAACAACGUGAGCGUGAACAUGAGAUUAUCUACGAGAAGAAACUGCUGAAAGAAAGGAGCAAGGACGAUCACCUCUUUGCUGACAAAGAGAAGUUUGUAACAAGUGCCUAUAAGAAAAAGCUUGCUGAGCAGGCAAAAUGGUUGGAAGAAGAGAGGUUGCGGCAAAUUCGUGAGGAAAAGGAGGAUGUAAGUGUUCUAAAUUUUUUUUUUAAUCAAUAUUUUCCUAUUUCUUUACCAUGUGGUUUGUGCUUCCCGAAUGGAUCUUACGGAUGCUGAGCUGUUUGUCGUGCUUAAAGCUGGUCUUCCAUGCUUUAAUCAGCACAGGAAAUAUAGAAGAAUGUUUUCACUGUUCUUGUUAUACUUAUGCAUCGCACUGCAAGAUGACAACUACUCCUGUUAGCAGUUUCCUCUCGCAUAAGCUCUGUUUCUCUUACAUUGUAAUACUCUAACUCGACCUCGUCUCUUUUGAAAGGUAACCAAGAAGAAAGAUUUGAGUGACUUCUACUUUGGUCUCAAUAAGAAUGUUGCUUUUGGUGCUCGAUUGAAUGAGGACCCAAAGCCAACACAACAUAACGAAGCAAAUGAUAGCACCCAGGAAAGUCAAGCAAGCAAGCAGGAUGCUAAGGAAUCUCACCAUUCUCCUCAACGUAGAGAGGAAGCCAAUAGAGAACCUAAAAUGAUCGACCGUGCUAAGAACAGUUCUGAAGAAGUUGUAGCGGAGGCUGUAUCAGCGGUCCCUGCAGGAAGUACCUCGGUGGAGGACAAGAUCAAUGUUGAUCAAGCAUUGGCAUCUCAGGCGACAACCGCUGAGCAUUAUAAAAGGAGCGAGGAUGCAUUGGCUGCUGCGAGAGAACGGUUUAUGGCACGAAAGAGAGCUAGAGAACAAUAACUUGGAGGUAUAGGCAGGAUUUUUCUUUUUAUCUUUUUCUGUAUUAAGUACGAACUGAUCUUCUAAUGAAAGUUUUUCGUCAUAUCGACGUAUUAACCCCUGCUUGAUUAUCCAUUCACUAAUAUGUAAUAUAUCACUGUGAACUUUGAAUUUUCCUUCUUGCUUACAUGCACUAACAAAAAGUUCCCUCUACAGCUGCUAGAUUGUUUUUUCAGGGUUUUAUGUAAAAAUCCUUUUUCCAGAUUAUUUUGUCAUUUGAUCUGAUUCCUUUCGUGAUCCUUUUUACAUUUUUCUUUAGUUAUUUCAACAACAUAUGUGAUUUGAUCUUUAUUAACUAACAUAAUGUCAAACUUUCGCCAGGGUGCGAUAUGGACAUCAUAUAUUGUGACUCGAGUCACUUGGCGAUCCGACAUGCUCGAUUGCUCGACUGUAUAAACAAUCAUGAUCCAACUACUUGUACUUUAUGAGAAGAUACAGGACAAGUGGAACUCAGAUGCGAAACAAAUACGAGUGUGUAAGCCGGUUUUGAGCACCGAACCCUGUAUGUCGAAAGUGAUGAAAUAAGUUAGAUUUUAAACAUUAUCAUUGCCCUUUUUAAAUUCCUUGUAAUCUCCUGUAAGUUGAUUGCCUGUUGUACAGCAAGUAACUAGGAUCUCUUUAUCGCAUAUUAUUUAGUGAAAAAAGAAAGAAUACUAUAAUUUGCUUUAGAAAACUCCGCAGGUAAAAUUACGGGUAAUCUCCAAACUUUUGAUGAAUCACAAUUUGGUUCUCGAUCUUUCAAAUGCUUUGCUUAGUUUGAACAAAGGCUUGUUAUCUUACUCCCCACUUGCAUCAACAAAUCUUUUUGUUGCUUUAGUGGUAUUGUGCUCAUGAAGUAUAUACUUGGUGUUAUAUAUUUUGUUAAUACCCUUGAUGACUUUGUGAUUGAAAACAAAUAGUUGGUGUGUUUUCCUCUCAAUCUGAUGUGGUUUGGAUGUGUUCUUGACUCAUUAAAACUGGAUUAGAUUAGAUAAGAUGGUGGAAUAAGUAAUCAUCCCAUUGUUUUCUUUUUUUAAUUAUUAUGAGUUGUGUGAAUGCGCCGCCUUUGAUUGGCCCACUCUGCUAUUAAACUGGGGAUUGUUUGGAUUAAACUGUCUCAAUGUAGUCCUCAAGUUCUUUUUUUCAUUCUUUGUGUUUUUUGGACUUUGUCUUUUUAUUUUUUUUAUGUGAAAAGUAUGAAAGGGAAAAUGUGGAGCUUAUUUAUAUUUAUAUUGUAAUUAGUGAUGUAACAAUAACUAAAGUAUUACAUUAUCGUCACACCAACACUAUAUUAUUAUUAGAAAAAAUUUCAAAUACCGCCUCUAUGGUUUCACACUUUUUAACUUUAGUAACAAUAACUAAAGUAUUACAUUAUCGUUACACCAACAUUACAUUAUUAUUAUUAGGAAAAAUUUCAAAUACUGCCCAUGUGAUUUCACACUUUUCCACUUUAGUGCCUUGUGCUUUAAAGUGUAUUAAUUUAGUGACAUGUUUUUUCAUUUUUAAUUUUUUAUUAUAGAUUUCAUUAAUAUUUUUUAUUAAAUUGAUGAUAAAGUUAAAACUAAAAGAUACUAAAGUGAAUAUUCGAUAAACUUAGGUGGGGUGGGGUAUAUAAAGUUAUUCGUAUAUAAUUUAAUAAAAUAUUAAUAGAAAAAUUGAUGAAAAAAUAAAAAUGAAAUCACAAGAUACUAAAUUGAUACACUUUAAACCACAGGGUACUAAAUUGAGAAAGCACGAAAUCACGGGGGUGGUAUUUGAAAUUUACCCUUAUUAUUAAGUUAGCUAAAUUAGACAACAAAAUUCGCUUGUAAUAGUUCAAAAUAUUUGAAUCUACAAUAAUAAAAAUUUAAAAUUUUAAAAAGUAAAUUUACAAAACCAAAGCGGCGUAUGCGAACCAAAAAGUGUACAAUUUAACAUUAAAAAAAAAAAAAAAAAAAAAAAAAAAAAANNNNNNNNNNNNNNNNNAAAAAAAAAAAAAAAAAAAAAAAAAACCCCUUGGGAGACCAAAACGGGUGGCUGGCCCGUGGUUCUUCUUCACCGACCCGCCCCGGUAAAAGGCGAACCCGGUUUUUUCUCCCACCCCCGGUUUGUCCCCCCUUGAGAUUCGCGUUACUUUAGAGAAAUUCGUUCCUGCACCAGGUGCAUAUGUACACUUUACACCGCACGCCACCUAACCGUCGAUCUCAAUAUUCUACGGCUCAUCCAACCGUCCAAUUUUGAACGAGAGAAUCUACCCAGCAUGGUGCGCAGAUGUACGGAUGCACCAGGUGCAUGUAAUUAUUCCCAAAAGUAAAGUUUGGUGUGGGAUGAGGAGUCGGGGGCGUGGUACUAUCACGUUUCCCAUUACUAACUCACAAUUUUCAAAAAGAAAGUUUUUUUUUUUUUUUGUUCUUUAAAAGUAAAUUUAGAUUCAUGUUUAAAAUUUCGGAUACUAAUGAUCAAAUAAUUUUUGGAUAAAAUUUUGGCUCCUUAGAUUUUUAGAUUUUUAGACCCACAUUUCCAUUAAUACUUGCGCUCAAAUUAAACUUUAUCCUAAAUACUCGAAAACUACAAUAUAUAUAUAUACCGGUAUACUUCUGGAAGCACAAAAUUCUCCGUCUUUUUAAGUCGUUUUCGAUAUUGGGACUUUCAAAUCGACGAUCGGCUCCGUUGGAUUUGAUCUAGAGUAUUUAAAAUACCUAGAAAAUAAAUUUUGUGAUUUUUCGAUACCAUUUGCCUAGUGAUCGAAGAGGCUCAAAAUCAAUGACCGUGGUGAGCCGUUUGCAAGUUUAACGGUGUAGAAAUAUUCAAAUUAUAUAAAAUUUUGAUAGAAAAUUUUUUAUACUAUAUAAAACAAGAUCAAUAUUUUUGAUCUAAAAUUUUAAUGUCAUAUGACCAUAUUUUGUAAGAUUUUUAUUUUCAGGCAUGAAUUUUGAGCCCCUAUGACCACUAGAUAAAUAAUAUCGAAAAAUUACAAAAGUUAUUUUUUAGAUACUUCAAAUAUUCUAUAUUAAGUCUAAUGGAGCCGAUCAUCGAUUCAAAAGUCUCAACAUCGAAAAUGAUUUGAAAACACAAAAGACUGUGUGCUUCCAAAAGCAUAUCUGAUUCACUCUAUUAUUUAUAUAUAUAUAUAUCCCCAAUAGUUUCCAUAUCUCUAUAUGGGGAAACGCUAUCUAAGAUAAACAAGACCACAAGACGACUAUAUAAAGUCCCCAAAGUGAAUAUAUGAUCCUUCAAUAUAUACCCAAAAGGAGAACCGAUCUUUUUUGUGCACAAAAGGAAAAAAUAAAGGUACAACAUUCCCUUUCUCUUUUUUUAAUUACUUAUUUUCCUAUAAAUUAGUGUAUAUAAAUAAAUAUAUGUGUUAGCUUUGGUUUUCAUAGAGCUUCUUCUUCUUCUUCUUCAUGUGGUAUUUUAGGAUAAGUUAUUAUUAUUAUUUUUUUAUUUUGAAGAUGUUUUAUUGAUUUAAUUUAUUUACUCUGAUGGGAAUUUUACCAAUUGCAUAUUUAUGUGAUACUAUUUUUUUUAUAAUCAAAAGAAGCUUUUUUGGUUCUCAUUUGUGGAAGAGACUGCUAGAAAAGGUGCCAAUUUGUAAGAUGCAAAAAAGUUGACCCUCUUUUUUUCUUUUUCUUUUUUUCGCCUCAUUUUAAUAAAUAAUAAUAAUUAUUAUUAAAAUUAUAAACUUAAAUCAAAAAAGAAACUAAAAACUAAAACCCUAACCCUAAAUUCUCCCAUAAAAAACCCACCCCACCUCCCCACUUUAUCUCCUCUCUCUCUCUCUCUCUCUCUCUCUCUCUCUCUCCUCGCAUCGUCUCUCUCUCUCUCCUCGCCGUAAUCUCAGAGGUAUCUCUUCUCCACGUCUCUCUCUCUCUAACUCUCUCUCUCAAUCUCUCUCUCUCUCCUUGGAUAGGUUGGGGUAUGGUUAGGGUUUCGUGGGACGGAGAGAGAGAGAGAGGACUCUAUUUGGGCUGGGUCGGGGAAAUUUGCAUGGAGAGCCCUCAAAUAUAGACGUUUCGGUAAUAGCCUCAUCAUUUUUUUAUAAAUAUACUAGAUAAUAUUGGGCUUUUAUCGGGCCCAUGUACUAGUGGGCCUUUAAUUAGGCCCAUUUAAUGAUUGCCAUGGAGACCCCUCAACUAUAGGUGUUUGUGAAAUAGGCUCAUCAUAUUAAUUAAUUUUUAUUUAUUUACUUUUUUUCUUUUAGUUAGUUUUGUUUACUGGGGAAGCUGUUAAUCUUAAUUCUACUUUUCAAUCAAUUAGAGUUUGAAUUUUUAGAACAAAAUAAGUUAAUUAAGAUGAAAAAUAAAAAAUUGGCAUGUGAUACUUCAUCAAAAUUUUCAUUUAAUCGCUUUUAAAUAUUCAUAAAAGGAAGUAAUUUGAACUAUAAAUUUUUCUAUGUGCCUUUGAGGUUUCAAAUCAUUUUUUUGCUUAGUAAUUAUUCUAAUUCGAGUUGCCGAGUUCGCAAAUAAUUUAUUUGUUUAGUAAUUGUUCAAAUCAUUAUUUGUAUGAGCAUGCAACAACUCCAUCAUGCCUUUAUAAGCUUGCAUAAUUGCAUCAGGGGCUCAAAAAUUUUUGGCCAUUUUUUUAAAAAAUUUUCUAAUUUGUUUUUUUAACUUGUUUUCAAUUUAGGAUUCAGUAUCAAUGGCUUGUACUGCAUAUAGUGUCGGAAAUUCGCCGAGAUUGGCGGGAACUCGAGCCACUAGGGCUUUUUUCAAGUAUAAUAUCAAUGGUGGAUCGAGUUCUUCGGUCUCUUUUACCGGUUAUCGGACAUGGAACACCCUAUCCUCUUCCUACUUGAAAGAGUGUUAUGUGUCGUCUCGUUGGAACUUCGUCGUAAGGGCUUCGAGGAAUGGCGGACAGCGUUCUGGGGAAUCCGUGCUUUCGGAUAAAGGCAAUGGCAAUGCGAAGGAUUCCGGUAAGAAUCAUCAAUUUGUAGAAAUUUUACGAGUUCAUAUUAAGUAUUGAAUGAUGAAUUGAUGAUGAUGCGGUUAUUUUGUUGUGCACUGUGUUAUUGAAAAUGAUUUAGAUCGAAUUUUCUUGUAUGAAAUGUAGAGGUUGAGAACUUAACUUGAUUGCCGAUAUAUUUUACUUUUCCAAAAAUCUAGAACUGUUGUGGCACUGGCACGGCACGACAUGACACGGCACUUACCCCAAAAUCUUGAACUGUUGAGGCACUGAUACGACACGGCACUUUUCCCAAAUCUAGAACUGUUAAGGCACCGGCCUGGCAUGGCACGGCAGGACGGCAUGCAUCGGCAUACACCAUAUUUUAUAUGUUGACGGAAUUGGCAGGGGCGGCACGGGCUCAUCAGCACCAGCGGACGUGCCGGCUGUGCCAGACGACGCAAAUUGGCACGGCACUCCGUGCCUCUCGCGCUACAUCUUUCUCUUUGGUUUCUCGUUUUCCUUUACAAUCCAUGUCCACUUACUAUGUCCUUUGUAAUGUUACACGAAAGUAGCGGUAACAGGAUCUAUUCGACAACUUUUCAUUAUACUACGCAAUUCUUAUUCAAUUCAAAUAUGCUCUAAUAAUCACUGUUUAGUGGAUUCUUUUUGGUAACUGUUUUUCAAAAGUUUUCCUUUCUGUGGCUUUUAAACAAAAUUGUCCAUCCUAUUUUUCAAGUUGUCGGUAAAUGGAGUUACAAAGGCUUGAAUUUGCUUUUUUUUUUUAAAAAAAAAAAACCAUUUUAGCAUUACAGCAAUUAUAUCUAUUCCUUUGCUAUUGUACAAGAGAGAGUGGUGGUGUUGGUCAUCGGCGGCGGCGGAAGGGAGCACGCUCUCUGCUACGCCCUGCAGCGCUCCCCGUCGUGCGACGCGGUAUUUUGCGCGCCGGGCAACGCGGGGAUCGCCCAAUCCGGGAGCGCGACCUGUAUCUCCGACCUGGAUAUUGCCGACAGCGCGGCUGUGAUCACGUUCUGCCGCACCUGGGGAGUUGGGCUCGUGGUGGUUGGCCCGGAGGCCCCUCUAGUCGCGGGCCUCACGAACGAGCUUGUUAAGGCCGGGAUCCCCACCUUCGGCCCAUCAUCGGAGGCUGCGGCACUUGAAGGUUCGAAGGACUUCAUGAAGAAGCUGUGCGACAAAUACGGAAUCCCUACAGCAAAGGUAACAUCUCUAUCUACUUAAUUCUCGAACUGCGUCAUCAUAUAAGCGUACAACGCAUGUAUAGUUUGGAAUUGCAUUUUCGCUUUGAUGCUUUAGAGGAUCCAAAAAAACCCAGGAAACAUUUUAGAGCUCCUCUCCUCUUCCGACGCUUCAAAAUGAGUCGAUAUCUGCUUCUUACAACAGCAGAAGCUCCGUACAUGUUUACUGCUACUUUUUGGAGUAGAGAAGUUAUUUCAUAAGCCAAAUCAAACUCGCACUUUGUGAUAAAAAAACGACGGCUUCUUCUUUAUUUCUGCAGUAUCGCACAUUCACGAACCCUUCUGAAGCAAAACAAUACGUCGCCGAACAAGGAGCCCCAAUUGUCAUAAAAGCCGACGGAUUAGCCGCCGGGAAAGGCGUCAUCGUUGCAAUGACUUUAGACGAAGCCUAUGAAGCCAUCGACUCGAUUCUCGUCAACAAUGCGUUCGGCUCGGCCGGUUCGAGAAUCAUCGUCGAGGAAUUCCUCGAGGGCGAGGAAGCUUCUUUCUUCGCUCUGGUCGACGGGGAAACCGCUUUACCUCUCGAGUCCGCGCAAGACCACAAAAGGGUCGGCGACGGCGAUAUCGGUCCGAACACGGGGGGGAUGGGCGCGUACUCUCCCGCGCCGAUAUUGACGAGGGAGCUCCAAUCGGUAGUUAUGGAGACGAUUAUACUUCCGACGGUGAGAGGCAUGGCGGCCGAGGACUGUAAGUUUGUUGGCGUGUUGUACGCCGGGCUCAUGAUCGAGCGGGAAUCCGGGUUGCCGAAGCUCAUCGAGUACAACGUGCGGUUCGGCGAUCCGGAAUGCCAGGUUCGUAAUCGUCGAGGUUGAAUUUCAAUGCAGUUAGCCGUCGACAACAUAAAAGUUUAAACUUGGCGCCAAAAUUGCAGGUUCUAAUGAUGCGGUUAGAAUCCGAUCUAGCGAAGGUUCUCCUCGCGGCUUGCAGAGGGGAGCUCGGCGACGUCUCGCUGAAAUGGUCGCCCGGAUCCGCGAUGGUGGUGGUAAUGGCGAGCCGGGGCUAUCCGGGCGCGUACAAAAAGGGCACCGUGAUACGAAACCUCGAGGAGGCCGAGUUGGUGUCUCCGGCGGUCAAAAUAUUCCAUGCAGGGACCGCGAUAGACUCGAACGGCGAAUUCGUCGCCACGGGGGGUCGCGUUCUCGGGGUUACUGCGAAGGGAAAGGAUUUAGAGGAAGCGGCGGCGCGAGCUUACGACGCGGUCGAAGCGAUCGAUUGGCCCGAAGGGUUCUACCGGCGGGAUAUCGGGUGGCGCGCGCUCAGGCGGAAGCAGAACACCGGUUUCGCCGCCGCCGCGGCGGCGAAAAAGAAUGCAUGAAAAUGUUAGUGAAAGCAUUGUAUGUGUGAGCAGAAGCAAUAACUGGGAAUGGUAUCAAUGGUUAUGGUACAAAUUUUUGUGAAACAUUGGCUCUUGAGUAUAAAUGAAAUGUUUAAGUUAUUGAGUGUUGUAGAUUUAAACUUAAUCCUCUCUUGAGCACUUUUUUAAUUUGAUUUUUUAUUUAUUUAAUUUACUUUUUUAACUACUUGGUUUCAAUUUGUCUUGAAUACACUGCAAUAUUUUUGGUUUUUCUUUUUUGUUUCUUUAUAAAGUAUACGGAUGUACACUUGUGAUAGGACUUUUUUAUAAAAUAACCCUUCAAAAAUUUGUAAUUUGAAAAAAAACUCUCACAAAAUUUUAUUUGAAAAACUAAUUAUUCUUUUGUCACGUGGACGCCACGAUUAGAAAUUUUUUAUAAAAACGGUAAAUCGUAAAUAUUAAAAAGUAAGUUGAAAAAUGGAAUAAAAUUCUGGUAAAAUAGAUAGUAAAUAUUACAUUUUUGUUUUUUUUUUACUUUAAAAAAUUAAAGAUAAUAAAAAAUAAAAAAAAUAGACUAUGGAAUCUUUUUUUUUUUUUAGUGAACCUUUUCUUUUCUUUUCUUUUUCAAACUAACCCCCCAACCAGUAAUAAAUUCAUCAAAUCAGAUAAAUUAAAAUGUAUGGUGAGCCCCUCAACUAUAUUCCAUUAGAAAGUACUCCCUUCCGACAUUUCUUUCAAUUUUGUAGCUUUUUAAAUUAAAUAACCUUACUAGAAAUAAAUUUAAAUUAGUCAAAUUUACUGAUGAUUUUAAUCACUUUGCAAUAAAAAAAUUUAAAAUAAUCAAUAACCGAUAUUUAAUAAAGCCACUAAAUUCAAUUAAAAAACCUCAAGCGGAGGGGCCCAUAUCAAAACGACCAUAGUCGAGGGGCUUUUCACAAAUUUUACCAAGUUGUCAAGUGUGGACAAUAUGGGGGUACUUUUGUGGUUACGUAGCAAACUAGCAAUGGCUCUUCUUCGCCCGUGAUUGACGCUUUGGACUCGGAACACCGUACACGCCUCUCUCCCAAACCGUCCGAUCAGUGAUGAUGCCUCCGUGGGAUUUUAAUAUUUCGUGGACCGGGUGUACCACUGCAUCUCAUACACCGCCCUCAAAAUAUUUUAUUAUUAUCUUUUAAAUUUUGUGAACCCAAACUAGUUGUACCAGGGAGAAACUAAGCUACCGUUUGGUUAAGGGUUAAGAAAAAACUAGUUAUUCCAGGGAUAGGAUUAAAUUUAGGGUUAAGGUGGGGUUAAAGUAUUUUUGUGUUUGGUUGAAGAUUAGAGUUAAGCCAGGAUAGUGAAAAAUAGCGUUUGGUUGGAGUAGGUGGGAUAACAAGGAUAAUGAGUUAUUAUGAAUAAAAAAUAGUGUUUGGUUAGAGUUUGGUGAGUUAGGUGGGGUUAGCUAUCCCGGGAUAACCCAUUUGAGGUGGGGUUAGCUGGGGUUAGCUAACCCCACCCAUUUUUAGAAGUGUUUGGGAAUAAAAUUAGAGUUCAGGAAUUAUUCCACCCCUUAACCCCAAGCAAACGGAGGCUAAGGGACGGACGUCUCAUCGAUUUUUGGUAAUAGUGCUGUGAUAUGUCCGUGAAGUAGUACUACCCUGAUAGCUUUGCGAGUGUUGACCUUAAGGACAUUCAAGUCUAUGAUUGCUCAUCUACCUUGGGCUGGAGGCAGAGAAAGAUUCUGAGAAGAGCAAGACGAAACUUACACUAUAGUGAGCGGAGUAUUAGGGAUCUGAAGAACACCCUAACUAAUCUUCGAGUUGAAAAAUGACUAGAUGUUAUCUGUUGGAGGUGGGACCUAGGCGAUAGAUUCACAACCAAAUCAGUGUAUUCGACUAUCAAGUGCGGGGGUGUCAAUGAUGCCGCAACGCUUGUCAUAUGGAAACCGAAAAUUUCAACUAAAGUUAAAAUUUUCUUCUAGCUAGCACUUAAAAGAGACUACCUACUGUGAAUAAUCUUCUCAAAAGAGGGUGGUCAGGAUAUAAUGAAGGGAAAACUUCAAAUAUCCCCAUUGUGGUUUCACUUUUUUUCACUUUAGUACUCUGUGGUUUAAAGUGUAUCAAGUUAGUACCCCGUGGUUUUGCACUUUUUCACUUUAGUACCCUGUGGUUUAAAGUGUAUCAAGUUAGUACCCUGUGGUUUAAAGUGUAUCAAGUUAGUACCCUGUGGUUUCGCACUUUAUCACUUUAGUACCCUGUGGUUUCACACAUUAUCACUUUAGUACCCUGUGGUUUAAAAACCACAGGGUACUAACUUGAUACAAAAAUAAAAACCACAGGGUGCUAACUUGAUAUAAAAAGAAAACCACAGAGUACUAACUUGAUACGCUUUAAACCACGGUACUAAAGUGAUAAAGUGAGAAACCACAGAGUACUAACUUGAUACACUUUAAACCACAGGGUACUAAAAUGAAAAAGUACGAAACCACAGGGGGGUUUUUGAAGUUUUCCCUAUAAUGAAUGCAUUUUGUGUGGUGCUGAGCUCAAUACUGUAGAUCACUUGCUAGUGGGGUGUUUUGUUAGUAAGUUUCUUCUUUUCUCGCAUCUUGGGGAGUGCCUCGUCUAUCUUUUUAUUGAAGAUAUCAACAUCGUCUGGGGGCCACUGCUAGAGAGGCGUCCACAGAGCGACGCUCUGAAGACUCUGACACUGGUGGCGGCCACUUGGUGGAUGGUCUGACGCAAUAGAAAUAACACUAUUUUCAGAAAUCUACCUAGUGAUGUUUCUCUAACAGCUCAUCGUAUUGGAGUAUUGGCAAAAGAGUGGGCCAAACACUGUAGAGCUAGAUGACGUAUAUUUUUUGGUUAUGAUCUUGUCUUGACGUUUUCGUUGGUUUUUUCUUAGUCUUUUUUUCGCGAAUCACUGUUCUUUUAUUUUUCCGCCUUUCUGACGCCCUGGCCGUCUCACCUUAUGUAGCUAAAUUCGUUUGUUUAUUGAAUGAAGCAGAUAGAGCACUACAUUUUUCUCAAAAAAAAAAAAAACUAAGUUGGGAACCUCCCUAUUUUUCUUAAAAAAAAUCCUUAAAGAGUACUUAAAAUUUUCAAAAACUAAAUUUUAUAAUAACUAAAUUACAGAAAACCCCGUUAUAAAUAUUUGUUUUUUCACCUUUUCUUCUUAACCUUUAAAAACCUAUUUUUACCCUUACAACAUUUCAAGUUGUUGCAUCUUGCGCCCCUCUGUCAGCGUUUAUAUCGAAAAUAUCUUUCAAAAUGAUAAAAAUACAUUAAUAAAUUAUUUUUUUUUAUAGCAGAAGUAAAGAUAAUUCGGUCAUUUUGCCUUCUUCAUUAAUGUCGUAUCCUUGAGAAAACAUUUAUGAAAUUUUAAGAGGGCAAAAUAUAGAUUUUUAAAAGUUAUGAUGGGAAAGUAAAAAAACUGGUAUUUAUAGGGAUGUUUUCUGUAAUUUAGCCAUUUAUAAUUUUUUGAUAUUAUUUAUCUUAUAAUGAAAAGUUUUCAAAAUUGACAACUUUUAACGAUUGUUAUAAGAUAUUUGCUAGUUUAACUUUAUAAAAUAAUCAAAAUCGGUUAAAUUUUUAAUUAAAAACUUUAUUCACUAUUAAAUAAAGAUCAGUAACUCUAAUCUUAAACAAUCUGGUUCUCUAUUUUUAGAAGAUUGUUCGAUUUUGACUAUUCAUUUUAUGUCCACUUAAUAAAUUUUAUAAUUUUUAUAAAUUUACAAAAAUUUGAUUUUUAAAAGUUUUAAAUACUUUAAAUUAUGUUUAAUGGUAUGAAUCGUCGGUUCAGAAGUUCAUUAAAAAUAUUUAUAAGUACAAAAAAUUCUAUACUAAUCAAUAUCAAUCAUGAAAGGGGAACCCUAAAGCUAGGCUUUCCGAAAUUUGCUAGUCCCAUCCUUGAAAAAAAAAAAUAAAGGGGAAAUAGAAGAUGGCUUUCGGGGAGCCCAAAGGUCGUGCCCCAUCCUUGGAAAAAACAAAAGGGGGUUUCGCGUACCAUUCUUAGUGUCGAUUCGCUUUCUCCUCUCUUGACUCAGUUCCGUUGGCUUGCCUUCUCCUCUGCGGCUGCAGCGACGUUUCCGACCGGCAUGGCGGCUGUCUCUUCCCCUUUCCCUCCGGCAUGGCGUCUGUCUCUUUCCUCCGGCAUGGCGUCCUAUCGCUUCCAUACUUUUAUUAAUGUUUCGUCCGGGGUGUCAGGUCUGCUGGCUUGCCUUUUCCUUUGUAGCCCAUCGGCAUGGCUGCUAUCUCUUCCCCUCCCUCUCUCGGUAUGGCGGUUGUCUCUUCUCCCAUCUCCCUUUUUUUUCCUCAUUAAUGCUCUGUCCUGUUGUUGCCAUGCUUUCAUUAAUGGCCCGUCCGGGGUGCCAUGCUGGCAGCGAGGAUCACCUUCUCUCCGAUAAAAGCAGCCGUCCUUGCGGCAUGGCGCUCAGGUGUUGGGGUGUCCUGCGGGCAUUUUCUUUUCCCUCCCUCAUGCGGAAUAGCGGUUGUCUCUUCGCCCCUCCCCAUUUUUCCCCUCAUUAAUGCUCUGUCAUGUUGCCUCCAUGCUUUCAUUAAUGGCCCGUCCGGGGUGCCAUGCUGAGGGUCACCUUCUCUCUAGUGAACGCUGCCGUCCUUGCAGCAUGGCACUCGGGUGUUAGGGUGUCAUGCCGGCAUUUUCUGUGCCACCCUGCACACCUUGAUUUUGUCCUUUCUGCUUUGUUGUCUAUAUAAAUAGUGAUUGGAUGCUGGGGUUUUUACUCCUCUUCUGCGAAAUUCGUUGCUUCUCCUCCUCUUACUUUGUUGCUUUCUAGUAUUGUAACUUGGCGAUUGGCGCUCGGUGGUGCUCUGUGCUGGGUAGAAAACCUCGAAACCUCAAGUGCUUAUAUAUACAUAGCCCUGAUUGCUCCUGUGCUUACUAUUUGGUCUUUCCUGAUGCAUGCGGGUGUGUUUGUUGCACUUGAUGGUUGCGAAACGGCGGGAUGAUUGCAAGGACUGCCUUUUUGCAGUGGUGGACUAUUGGUUUUCUCCUUUUUUUUUAAAUUCUGCCUUACAUUUUUUUUCCCUUCUGUCCUCUAAUUUUUUCUUUUUGGCUACUAUCUGUCGUUGCAUGUCUUUGGUGGUGACAAUAUGGCAGAACAAUUGCGGGGGUUAGUUUCUGUAGCCGCCAGAUUAUGUAUUUUAUCCCCUUUUCCUUUGUUAUUGGUGUUCGGUUUAUGAUUUGUUUUGCUUAUUUUGCUCUUUUUUUUUUCCUGUGCGGUGAUGUCAGCUGUAGUAGUCAGAAUUAGUUUCCGAGAAUUGUUGCGCGAUAUCUGCCACCGAUUAUUUGUGGCGGUGCCGAUAUAUGGUGUUCCUGACAAAUACAAAUGGUUACUUAGUGUGUAUGCCGAUGUUGAGAUCUCUAGGGGAGAUUCAAUUACUGAGUCGAUUCAGUGUUGGGGUGCAGCUUCCUUUACUGUUGAUGAGGCAGAGGAAGAUAUUGCGCGUUGUGUUGUUACCAAAUUACAGGAUGAAUUUUCGUUUGAGGUGAAGGAUACUAAUUUAGAUGAUAGAAAGUUUUACGAGAAUCUGUAUGACCGAGUUUCUGUGGAUUAUCUUGCUCUCCACAGUAAUAUAAGUGCUUAAAGAGCGACUACGACCUCUUAAAAGGCUACUAUAAUAGUCUGCUUGCUAAGAAAGAGCACUUUAUUUCUGAGCAGAAUGAGAUGG